rnacentral:rRNA from 1 species
CGCACGGGUGAGUAACACGUAUCCAACCUGCCGUCUACUCUUGGACAGCCUUCUGAAAGGAAGAUUAAUACAAGAUGGCAUCAUGAGUCCGCAUGUUCACAUGAUUAAAGGUAUUCCGGUAGACGAUGGGGAUGCGUUCCAUUAGGCAGUUGGUGGGGUAACGGCCCACCAAACCUUCGAUGGAUAGGGGUUCUGAGAGGAAGGUCCCCCACAUUGGAACUGAGACACGGUCCAAACUCCUACGGGAGGCAGCAUG